rnacentral:rRNA from 1 species
GAUGAACGCUAGCGGCAGGCUUAAUACAUGCAAGUCGAGGGGCAGCAGGACUGUAGCAAUACAGUUGCUGGCGACCGGCACACGGGUGCGGAACACGUACGCAACCUACCCAAAACUGGGGGAUAGCCCGGGGAAACCCGGAUUAAUACCUCGUAACCUUUUUAAGUGGCAUCACUUGAUAAGUAUAGCUCCGGCGGUUUUGGAUGGGCGUGCGCCUGAUUAGGUAGUUGGUGCGGGUAACGGCCCACCAAGCCUGCGAUCAGUAACUGGUGUGAGAGCACGACCAGUCACACGGGCACUGAGACACGGGCCCGACUCCUACGGGAGGCAGCAGUAAGGAAUAUUAGUCAAUGGACGCAAGUCUGAACCAGCCAUGCCGCGUGAAGGAUGAAGGUCCUCUGGAUUGUAAACUUCUUUUAUGGGGGACGAAACCCGGAUAUUCUUAUCCGAUUGACGGUACCUCAGGAAUAAGCACCGGCUAACUCCGUG